rnacentral:rRNA from 1 species
CCUACGGGCGGCAGCAGUGAGGAAUAUUGGUCAAUGGACGAGAGUCUGAACCAGCCAUGUAGCGUGCAGGAUGACUGCCCUAUGAGUUGUAAACUUCUUUUAUAUGGGAGUAAACUCAUCUACGCGUAUGAUUUUGUAUGUACCGUACGAAUAAGGAUCGGCUAACUCCGUGCCAGCAGCCGCGGUAAUACGGAGGAUCCGAGCGUUAUCCGGAUUUAUUGGGUUUAAAGGGAGCGUAGGUGGUUGGAUAAGUCAGUUGUGAAAGUUUGAGGCUCAACCUCGGAAUUGCAGUUGAAACUGGCAGGCUAGAGUAUAGUAGAGGUAGGCGGAAUUUGUGGUGUAGCGGUGAAAUGCUUAGAGAUCAUAAAGAACUCCGAUUGCGAAGGCAGCUUAC